UGGCUGUGAUGACAAAAAGGCCAGACUUACGACUGCCACUAAUUGUUUGGUAGAAUGAUUAAUGCUUCUAUAAGGGGCACGUGUUCAGCCAG